GAGAGCUACGUGCGCUGAAAGGUGCCCGCGUGGUUCGGACCGGGGGCCGUUGGAAAAGGCGCCGCACACAGCGGAAACCUCGCCAACGGCCUACCGGUGU
rnacentral:ncRNA from 1 species